rnacentral:rRNA from 1 species
UGCUAUACAUGCAGUCGAGCGGACAGUAUGGGAGCUUGCUCCCUGAUGUUAGCGGCGGACGGGUGAGAUAACACGUGGGUAACCUGCCUGUAAGACUGGGAUAACUCCGGGAAACCGGGGCUAAUACCGGAUGCUUGUUUGAACCGCAUGGUUCAAACAUAAAAGGUGGCUUCGGCUACCACUUACAGAUGGACCCGCGGCGCAUUAGCUAGUUGGUGAGGUAAUGGCUCACCAAGGCAACGAUGCGUAGCCGACCUGAGAGGGUGAUCGGCCACACUGGGACUGAGACACGGCCCAGACUCCUACGGGAGGCAGCAGUAGGGAAUCUUCCGCAAUGGACGAAAGUCUGACGGAGCAACGCCGCGUGAGUGAUGAAGGUUUUCGGAUCGUAAAGCUCUGUUGUUAGGGAAGAACAAGUACUGUUCGAAUAGGGCGGUACCUUGACGGUACCUAACCAGAAAGCCACGGCUAACUACGUGCCAGCAGCCGCGGUAAUACGUAGGUGGCAAGCGUUGUCCGGAA